UUUGUCAUCAGCUUACGUUCUGUUAUCAAGAUCUAUCAGCUUUCUUUACCUUUGAGUCGAGAAUUUCAGAAAAUCAAUUUAGAUUUAGUUCAAGCUGUAGACCUGACCAAAGAUUUACGCGCUGAACUCAUGAAAAUACGUUCUGAAGAUUCUGAAUUUUCUGAAAUUUACAAAGGUUCGACAGAAUUAGCAGAAUCCCUUGAAAUUGAAGUGAAAAAUAAGAGGAUAGUGGGGAGAUAGAAGCAUCGUGGAAACCAUCAACACGGAUCUUGAAAAAAGAUUCACCAGUCACGAAAAUAUUCUUAAGGGAUUCAUGGCACUCUUUUAACACGAACCUCCCAAAGUUGACGAACUGUCCGGAGAAAACUGUAGAGUUUUACCAAGAGUUCCUCACAGCGGAAUUAACGGAAGUACUUGCGGAGUUAAAAAUGUGGAGAAGAUAUCUGACCACUCAACGCAACGUUUAGCCGUUGAAUGCAUUGUAUCAUUCCCCUGGUGAAAAUUUUCGUAACAUCAACAUUUUACUGAAGAUUUUAGCAACUUUACCUGUAUCGACUUCGACUCCAGAGAGAACCUUCUCCUGUCUGAAAAGAAUGAAGACUAUUCAAAGAAACAAAAUUGGAGAAGAUCGCUUAAAUGGAUUGGCAGCUCUUUGAUUCUCACUGAUGAGAUAUCUAAGAAACCUCGC